CGCCUAAACCCCUCGGGGCAUGGCGCGAAAACUACGGAAGAUAACAUCUCCUCGUCAGGAACUUCCGUAGUUGCAUCCCGAAAGGGGUGUAGGGGGAAACCCC
rnacentral:sRNA from 1 species